rnacentral:rRNA from 1 species
AGUGAACGCUGGCGGUAGGCCUAACACAUGCAAGUCGAACGAGUGGCGGACGGGUUAGGAAUACAUCGGCAUCUACGCGGGGGUGGGGGAUAACGUACGGAAGCUUACGCUAAUAACGCAUACGAUUGCAUGGGCCGGGGUCGGAGUAGCUAGGUGGCGGGGUAAAGGCCCACAAAGGCGACGAUCCGUAGCUGGUCUGAGAGGAUGAUCAGCCACACUGGAACUGAGACACGGUCCAGACUCCUACGGGAGGCAGCAGUGGGGAAUAUUGGACAAUGGGCGCAAGCCUGAUCCAGCCAUGCCGCGUGUGUGAAGAAGGCCUUCGGGUUGUAAAGCCCUUUUGUCGGGAAGGCGUUACCAAAAGAAUAAGCACCGGCUAACUUCGUGCCAGCAGCCGCGGUAAUAC